rnacentral:rRNA from 1 species
AUUGAACGCUGGCGGCAGGCCUAACACAUGCAAGUCGAACGAGAGGCGGACGGGUGAGCUAUGUUUGGGAUACUGCCUGAGGGAGGGGGACAACUACCGGACACGGUAGCUAAUAUCGCAUACAUUAAGAUGUGUCCUGGUGGGUUUAGUUAGUUGGUGGGGUAACGGCUCACCAAGGCGACGAUCCUUAGCUGGUCUGAGAGGAUGACCAGCCACACUGGAACUGAGACACGGACCAGACUCCUACGGGAGGCAGCAGUGUGGAAUAUUGUACAAUGGGCGCAGGCCUGAUGCAGCCAUGCCGCGUGUAUGAAGAAGGCCUUCGGGUUGUAAAGUACUUUAAGCGGGGAGGCGUUACCCGCAGAAGAAGCACCGGCUAACUCCGUGCCAGCAGCCGCGGUAAUAC